rnacentral:rRNA from 1 species
UACAGGGGGUGCAAACGUUGCUCGGAAUUAUUGGGCGUAAAGCGCGCGUAGGCGGCUACUUAAGUCGGAUGUGAAAGCCCUUGGCUCAACUGAGGAAGUGCACCCGAAACUGAGUGGCUUGAGUACCAAAGAGGGUCGCGGAAUUCCCGGUGUAGAGGUGAAAUCCGUAGAUAUCGGGAGGAACACCGGUGGCGAAGGCGGCGACCUGGGUGGAUACUGACGCUGAGGCGCGAAAGCGUGGGGAGCAAACAGG